UACGUAGGGGGCAAGCGUUGUCCGGAAUCAUUGGGCGUAAAGCGCGCGUAGGCGGCCCGGUAAGUCCGUUGUAAAAGUCAAAGGCUCAACCUUUGAAAGCCGAUGGAUACUGCCGGGCUAGAGUCCGGAAGAGGCGAGUAGAAUUCCUGGUGUAGCGGUGGAAUGCGCAGAUAUCAGGAGGAAUACCCAUAGCGAAGGCAGCUCGCUGGGACGGUACUGACGCUGAGGCGCGAAAGCGUGGGGAGCGAACAGG
rnacentral:rRNA from 1 species